CCUACGGGAGGCAGCAGUCGAGAAUCAUUCACAAUGGGGGAAACCCUGAUGGUGCGACGCCGCGUGGGGGAAUGAAGGUCUUCGGAUUGUAAACCCCUGUCAUGUGGGAGCAAAUUAAAAAGAUAGUACCACAAGAGAAAGAGACGGCUAACUCUGUGCCAGCAGCCGCGGUAAUACAGAGGUCUCAAGCGUUGUUCGGAAUCACUGGGCGUAAGGCGUGCGUAGGCGGUUUCGUAAGUCGUGUGUGAAAGGCGCGGGCUCAACCCGCGGACGGCACAUGAUACUGCGAGACUAGAGUAAUGGAGGGGGAACCGGAAUUCUCGGUGUAGCAGUGAAAUGCGUAGAUAUCGAGAGGAACACUCGUGGCGAAGGCGGGUUCCUGGACAUUAACUGACGCUGAGGCACGAAGGCCAGGGGAGCGAAAGGGAUUAGAUACCCCGGUAGUC
rnacentral:rRNA from 1 species